rnacentral:rRNA from 1 species
AUGGUGAAGGGGAGGCGCGGCCGCUGCUGCUUGCGCCAGGGCCGAGGUCGGGGAGGCCGUCGGGCUCGUCGUCGCUGCUGCCGCGCGAGUCCCCGACGCCCCAGGCCCAUCGCCCCUUCCCCGCAUCCGCAGCCUGCGGCCGUCGACUGUAGAGCCGCCCCUCGGCUACCCCCUAGCCGUCGACGGCGGCGCCCAUUGCCGCUGCGCCACCACUGCCCCCGGCGGAGACAGAGCAAUCAGGCCGCGCGCAUCGCGGCUCCGACGGACGAGCGCUCCCCGCGAUCUGGAUUUAUCUUUGGGAGGGAGGGUUUUUUCAGAAAAAGACCAGCCUAA